rnacentral:snRNA from 1 species
GCUCACUUCAGCAGCACAUACUCAAAUUAGAACCAUACAGAGAGAGAAGAUUAACGUGGCCCCUGCAGAAGGAUGAUACACAAACUCGUGAAGCAUUCCAUUUAAAA